UGGGAUAGCAUGAAAUAAAAAUGGAAACAAACACAUUGAAUCAGAUCAUAAAUAUUUUAACAAAGCAUCGGAUGGAUAGUUAAGAUCAAGAAAGUAACUAGAAACAUGAGAGCUUUAGAAGAAAAACAGGUCAUGAGGACAGCUUUAAUGCUGCAGUGCAAUGGCGCGAUCUCGGCUCACCACAACCUCCGCCUUCUGGGUUCAGGCAAUUCUCCUACCUCAGUCUCCUGAGUAGCUGGGAUUAUAGGCACGCGCCACCAUGCUCAGGUUUUUCUGGCUAUAACUGUCAUCCUACCAGUUUGUGGCUGGAAAAGUAAAUUAAAUAUUUGCAUAGACCAUGGAAUGACAAAUACAAGUACAACAGAAACCAGAAAGUGGAAGUCUUUAUAUCUUGCUUUGAAGGUAAGUGUUUGGCUAAUUAUCUACAUGUUACUCAAACGGCAGAGAUGUGACUUCUGAUUCUUUCUCCCAUCUCUGGCUAAUGAGUAAAAUCUGUGUGUCAAAAAGGCAAUAAAGUAAUUUAAAAAUAUUCUAUGUCUGACUUCUUCAAUGUUUUCUAAUUUAUUUACAUUUUUGCAUAUCAGUGUAGUUUCUUCAUUUUUAUACUAUAAUAUCCCAUUACAUACAUAUACAAUUAAUUAAACCACAUUUGUGUAUAUGCCACAUAGAAAA
rnacentral:lncRNA from 1 species